UUUUUUUUUUUUUUUUUUUUUUUUUUUUGGCUUUUCUAGGGCCGCACCCGCGGCAUACAGAGAUUCCCAGGCUAGGGAUCGAAUCGGAGCUAUACCCACCAGCCUAUGCCAGAGUCACAGCAACGCCAGAUCCCAGCCGCGUCUGCGACCUAUACCACAGCUCACGGCAGCGCCGGAUCUUUAACCCACUGAUGGAGCCCAGGGAUCGAACCCGAAACCUCAUGGUUCCUAGUCGGAUUCGUUUCCGCUGAGCCACAACGGGAACUCCCUUUUAAAUUAUUUUUUUUUUAUGUUCCCUUUUUUAUGGGUGCACCUGUGGCAUAUGGAGGCUCCCAGGCUAGGGGUCAAAUCAGAGCUGCAGCUGCUGACCUAUGCCACCGCCACAGCAACACCAGAUCCGAGCCGCAUCUGCAACCUAUACCAAGCCUCAUGGCAACACUGGAUCCUCAACCCACUGAGCGAGGCCAGGGAUCGAACCCACAUCUUCGUGGAGACAACAUCAGGUCCUUAACCCGUGGAGCCACACCAGGAACUCCUGUCCUUUUAAUUUUAAUCAUCCACGAGAGAAGACUGACACCAAGGCGGAGGCCAGCUGACCAGGGAGGUAGAGGCAGGAAGGACACAGCCCCAGGCUAACGAAUGCCUUGAGCCACCAGAAGCAGAUUCUCCCCUUCAGAGGGAGCCCAGCCCGGCCGACACCUUGCUUUUGAACUUGUGGCCUCCAGAACCGUGAGACAGCGACUUUCGUUGCUGCUACUGCAACCCCCAGUAACUAAGGCAGGGCCACGGGGAGAAAUCACAGCAAUAACCCGCACUGCAGCCCCUCGCCCUCUCCCUGCAGCAAAGCACCCAGGGCUCCGAACCAGAGUGGCAGACCCAGGACACCGCCCUGUACUCCACCUAAGGCUGCCCUCCAACUCCUCCCAGCCCAGCGGGGUGGGCAAGGCUGGCGUGGUGACAGCAGGCAGACAGGAGAUGCUCAGAGAGGACGGAGAGGGCCCAGGACACCAGCCAGCUACCCUGCCCCCACGUGUCCCCACUCUGAACACCCACUCUUUCUGCUGAACUGAACCCAAAGCAACGCCCUGAGGACACAGCAGAAAGGAAAGUGAAAACUGUCCAUCUGCAGAAUUUCUCACCGCCACCCCCCCAACUCUCAAGCUAGUGAACUGUUUAGCUGACUGCAGAAAACCAGCAUCCUGGGAGAUGAGAGCUGAUGUCAGAGACCCUCAGAGAACCCUGGAGGCACUGGCCCUUGAUCACGGCCGCAGGCGCCAAGGCUGGGGUCAGUGGGGGCCGAUCCCACCCCAGACUCUCAGGUGUAUUAACCACAUAACUUGGGCCGAUUGGUAUCCCUACACCUGAGGCUCGGGGUCCCCAACGACAAACUCCAGAGGUCAAGGGCGGGGGUGGAGAAACAGGGCCCCUGAGCACCGCUGGUGGGAAUGAAGGCAAAGCAGCGCAGGCACCGCGGGAAACGGGUGGGCGGUUCCCGAAUGAGUUAGACCCAGAGUUACCGUACGAUCCAGCAAUUCCACUCUGGCCAUUCACCCCAAAGAACUGAAGGCAGGGUCUUCAACCACGAGGCGUCCACCCACUCACAGCCGCACUGUUCACGGCAGCCAAAAGGUGGCAACGACCAGCGUCCAUCGCACGAUGAAUGGAUAGACUGCGCCCCGUCCACACAGCGACUCUUACUCAACCCGAACCCGGAGGCGAUGCUGACACCGGCUCUUAUGUGAAGGAUGUGAUGCUGCGUGAGAUGAGCCCCGCAUAGGAGACCCCCAGGGCGGUCAAAGUCACGGAGACACAAGGGGAAGAGUGGCUGUGGGCUGGGAGGCGGGGGGUCAGUGUUGACGGGGACAGUUUCAACUUGGGACGACAACGAAGUUCUAAAGACGGAAGGUGGGGACGGUUGCAGAACAAUGUCAGAGGACUUAACGCCGCUGGGCUACAGUUACAGUGGUGACGUUUAUGCUCCGUGCAGUUUAUCGCAAUUAAAAAAAAAA
ensembl:lncRNA